rnacentral:rRNA from 1 species
UACGGAGGGGGCUAGCGUUGUUCGGAAUUACUGGGCGUAAAGCGCACGUAGGCGGCUUGGUAAGUUAGAGGUGAAAGCCUGGAGCUCAACUCCAGAAUUGCCUUUAAGACUGCCGAGCUAGCAGGUGAGAGAGGUGAGUGGAAUUCCGAGUGUAGAGGUGAAAUUCGUAGAUAUUCGGAGGAACACCAGUGGCGAAGGCGGCUCACUGGCUCAUACUGGACGCUGAGGUGCGAAAGCGUGGGGAGCAAACAGG